rnacentral:rRNA from 1 species
CGGCAGACGGGUGAGUAAUACUUGGGCAAUCUACCCUUAAGUGGGGGACAACCUGCCGAAAGGCGGGCUAAUACCCCAUAAGACCACAGGAGUGCAUAUUCCAGGGGUCAAAGCUCCGCAAGGGGCGCUAAAGGAGGAGCCCGAGUCCUAUCAUGGUAGUUGGCGGGGUAACGGCCCACCAAGCCGUUGACGGGUAGCCGGCCUGAAAGGGCAACCGGCCACACUGGCACUGAGACACGGGCCAG